rnacentral:rRNA from 1 species
UACGGAGGGGGCAAGCGUUAUUCGGAAUUAUUGGGCGUAAAGGGCGCGUAGGCGGCUAGAUGUGUCAAAGGUGAAAUCCCUCGGCUCAACUGAGGAACUGCCUUUGAAACUGUCUGGCUUGAGGCCGGGAGAGGGUAGCGGAAUUCCCAGUGUAGCGGUGAAAUGCGUAGAUAUUGGGAGGAACACCAGUGGCGAAGGCGGCUACCUGGACCGGUUCUGACGCUGAGGCGCGAAAGCUAGGGUAGCAAACGGG